rnacentral:lncRNA from 1 species
AGAGAGGUGGAAAGGAGAAGCAGGGCUCGAAGAACGAGCCGAGCCAUGCAAGAACAAGGGGAUAUAGCAAGUAAGCAGUAAGGUUCUCCUUUUAGCCUUUAGGACCGACUACAACAAGCUCGCGACUCUAAUAAAUAGAAAGGGUAAGCUCUCUGCUCUAUUUGCUUGCAAUGCUAUAUCUAUCAAACAAAGUUGGCGAACGCUUCUUUAACCUUAU